CUUACCAUGCAGUCGAACGGCAGCACGGGAGCAAUCCUGGUGGCGAGUGGCGAACGGGUGAGUAAUACAUCGGAACGUGUCCUGUAGUGGGGGAUAGCCCGGCGAAAGCCGGAUUAAUACCGCAUACGCUCUACGGAGGAAAGGGGGGGAUCUUAGGACCUCUCGCUACAGGGGCGGCCGAUGGCAGAUUAGCUAGUUGGGGGGGUAAAGGCCUACCAAGGCGACGAUCUGUAGCUGGUCUGAGAGGACGACCAGCCACACUGGGACUGAGACACGGCCCAAACUCCUACGGGAGGCAGCAGUGGGGAAUUUUGGACAAUGGGCGCAAGCCUGAUCCAGCAAUGCCGCGUGUGUGAAGAAGGCCUUCGGGUUGUAAAGCACUUUUGUCCGGAAAGAAAACCUCUGGGUUAAUACCCCGGGGGGAUGACGGUACCGGAAGAAUAAGCACCGGCUAACUACGUGCCAGCAGCCGCGGUAAUACGUAGGGUGCAAGCGUUAAUCGGAAUUACUGGGCGUAAAGCGUGCGCAGGCGGUCCGCUAAAACAAAUGUGAAAUCCCCGGGCUUAACCUGGGAACUGCAUUUGUGACUGGCGGGCUAGAGUAUGGCAAAGGGGGGUAGAAUUCCACGUGUAGCAGUGAAAUGCGUAGAGAUGUGGAGGAAUACCGAUGGCGAAGGCAGCCCCCUGGGCCAAUACUGACGCUCAUGCACGAAAGCGUGGGGAGCAAACAGGAUUAGAUACCCUGGUAGUCCACGCCCUAAACGAUGUCAACUAGUUGUUGGGGAUUCAUUUCCUUAGUAACGUAGCUAACGCGUGAAGUUGACCGCCUGGGGAGUACGGUCGCAAGAUUAAAACUCAAGAA
rnacentral:rRNA from 1 species